rnacentral:lncRNA from 1 species
GGAAAGCAUGCGGAAGUCCUGCUUUGCUACGUGAUGGAUUUGCAGGUGGAGGAACUCAGCCAUCCCGGUUACCGGUGGCAGGAUGAUUUCCUUUCAUCCCAACCUUUAUUUCCACAGUGAAAUCAUCAUGAAGGAGCACUGUGUUGGCAUCCUCGGCUACAGGGUGUCUCAUUCCACUGCAGUCCAGCGGUUCUGGGAUCACGAAGGUCAAGCCUCCAGCUGCAGGCAGUACACCUCCUACCUGAGCUCAUUCAGCUGUUUGGCUGAACAUGACUGCCCGGGUUUUGGCAGGAUUGCUG